GAUGAACGCUAGCUACAGGCUUAACACAUGCAAGUCGAGGGGUAACGAGAGGGAAGCUUGCUUUCCUUGUCGACGACCGGCGCACGGGUGAGUAACGCGUAUCCAACCUGCCCCCAACUAAGGAAUAACCUUGCGAAAGUAAGACUAAUACCUUAUAAUUUCCUCAGAUGACAUCUGACGAGGAAUAAAGAUUUAUUGGUUGUGGAUGGUGUUGCGUCUGAUUAGCUUGUUGGCGGGGUAACGGCCCACCAAGGCAACGAUCAGUAGGGGUUCUGAGAGGAAGGUCCCCCACAUUGGAACUGAGACACGGUCCAAACUCCUACGGGAGGCAGCAGUGAGGAAUAUUGGUCAAUGGGCGGAAGCCUGAACCAGCCAAGUAGCGUGCAGGAUGACGGCCCUAUGGGUUGUAAACUGCUUUUAUACAGGAAUAAAGUUAGCCACGUGUGGUUAUUUGUAGGUACUGUAUGAAUAAGGACCGGCUAAUUCCGUGCCAGCCGCCGCCGUAA
rnacentral:rRNA from 1 species